GCCCGCUCUCCUGGCAUCGGCCGUGCCAGCCUUCUACCAUCUCUAGUGGUCUUACAUCUGUGUCUGAAACCAAGUUCGUUGUUUUCUCGUGCUCCUCUACCUCUUCCUAGUUUAUCCCUGGCACCAUUUACCUACCCCCAGGGUUCAGGACUAGUUCGCAUGCAAAGAAAGCCAGGUAGAUGCCAUCUCGAGGAUCGGUGCUGCCGAAGGGCCAGCCAGGCCUGCUGGCUGCCUGCCAGGUAGGCCUCGGGGCUGGGUCCUCCACCCCGAAGAGUGCUGA